AUGAACGCUAGCGACAGGCCUAACACAUGCAAGUCGAGGGGCAGCACAAGGAGCAAUCUGAGGUGGCGACCGGCGCACGGGUGAGUAACACGUAUGCAACCUGCCUGUAAGCGGGGAAUAACCCGUUGAAAGACGGACUAAUACCGCAUAAUACUAAAUUACUGCAUGGUAAUUUAUUUAAACAUUUAUGGCUUACAGAUGGGCAUGCGCAUGAUUAGCUAGUUGGAGAGGUAACGGCUCCCCAAGGCAACGAUCAUUAGGGGUUCUGAGAGGAAGGUCCCCCACACUGGUACUGAGACACGGACCAGACUCCUACGGGAGGCAGCAGUGAGGAAUAGUGGUCAAUGGACGAGAGUCUGAACCAGCCAAGUCGCGUGCAGGAAGAAUGUCCUUAAUGGAUUGUAAACUGCUUUUGCAGGGGAAUAAAGUGCAUCACGUGUGAUGUUUUGUAUGUACUCUGCGAAUAAGGAUCGGCUAACUCCGUGCCAGCCGCAGC
rnacentral:rRNA from 1 species